rnacentral:rRNA from 1 species
AUUGAACGCUUGCGGCAGGCCUAACACAUGCAAGUCGAGCGAGCGGCGGACGGGUGAGUAAUGUCUGGGAAACUGCCUGAUGGAGGGGGAUAACUACUGGAAACGGUAGCUAAUACCGCAUACCAUCAGAUGUGCCCAGAUGGGAUUAGCUAGUAGGUGGGGUAACGGCUCACCUAGGCGACGAUCCCUAGCUGGUCUGAGAGGAUGACCAGCCCCACGGGAACGUAGACACGGUCCAGACUCCUAAGGGAGGCAGCAGUGGGGAAUAUUGCACAAGGGGGGCAAGCCUGAUGCAGCCAUGCCGCGUGUAUGAAGAAGGCCUUCGGGUUGUAAAGUACUUUCAGCGGGGAGGCGUUACCCGCAGAAGAAGCACCGGCUAACUCCGUGCCAGCAGCCGCGGUAAUUC